rnacentral:rRNA from 1 species
AUUGAACGCUGGCGGCAGGCCUAACACAUGCAAGUCGAACGGCAGCGGGGGAUAGCUUGCUAUCCUGCCGGCGAGUGGCGGACGGGUGAGUAAUGCAUGGGGAGCUGCCCAAUCGAGGGGGAUAACAACUGGAAACGGUUGCUAAUACCGAAUACGCCUUGCGGGGGAAAGGUGGGGACCUCCGGGCCUACCGCGAUUGGAUGCACCCAUGUGGGAUUAGCUGGUUGGUGAGGUAACGGCUAACCAAGGCGACGAACUCUAGCUGGUCUGAGAGGAUGACCAGCCACACUGGAACUGAGACACGGUCCAGACUCCUACGGGAGGCAGCAGUGGGGAAUAUUGCACAAUGGGGGAAACCCUGGUGCAGCCAUGCCGCGUGUGUGAAGAAGGCCUUCGGGUUGUAAAGCACUUUCAGUGGGGAGGAAGGGGAGUAAGCUAAUAACUUGCUUCAUUGACGUUACCCACAGAAGAAGCACCGGCUAACUCCGUGCCAGCAGCCGCGGUAA